GUAAACCCAGGUAGUAACACACCCUAACUGCCCGCCAGAGCACUACAAGUAAAAAACUUAAAACUCAAAGGACUUGACGGCAUUCCACAUCGCCCUAGAGGAGCCUGUCCUAUAAUCGAUGACCCACGUUAAACCUAACCUGCCCUUGCAUCAACCAGCCUAUAUACCGCCGUCCCCAGCGUGCCCUUCAAGGGGUUAACAGCAAGCCAACUAGCUCAGCGCUCAUACGUCAGGUCAAGGUGUAGCUAACGCGCAGGAAGAGAUGGGCUACAUUUUCUACCACAGAAAACAACCUACUGUGCCAUGAAACGUGCACCAAAAGGAGGAUUUAGCAGUAAGCCGAACAAGACAUGUUCGCCUGAACACCG
rnacentral:rRNA from 1 species